rnacentral:rRNA from 1 species
GUAGGUGGCAAGCGUUGUCCGGAAUUAUUGGGCGUAAAGCGCGCGCAGGCGGUUCUUUAAGUCUGAUGUGAAAGCCCACGGCUCAACCGUGGAGGGUCAUUGGAAACUGGAGAACUUGAGUACAGAAGAGGAAAGCGGAAUUCCACGUGUAGCGGUGAAAUGCGUAGAGAUGUGGAGGAACACCAGUGGCGAAGGCGGCUUUCUGGUCUGUAACUGACGCUGAGGCGCGAAAGCGUGGGGGAGCAAACAGGAUUAGAUACCCUGGUAGUCCACGCCGUAAACGAUGAGUGCUAAGUGUUAGGGGGUUUCCGCCCCUUAGUGCUGCAGCUAACGCAUUAAGCACUCCGCCUGGGAGUACGGCCGCAGGCUG